GUGAGCUGUAGCUCACGAAAGCUCAUGCUCAAAUAAAUUGGUUAGUCUCUAAGGUGCCACAAGUACUGCUUUUCUUUUUGCGAAUACAGACUAACACGGCUGUUACUCUGAAACCAAGCCAAACAGUUACACAUGGCAGAGCUGAUUACACACUGUUAACCCUGGAUUUGGGCGCCAAUUGUAAACAGCCCGUUUGCUCGCUGCACAAUCCUUUCUCAGUAGCCUGCCAGGAAUGGAGCUCAGUUUUUAUGUGCACAGCUGGGUAACGGAGUCAUACGUAUGGUUUCCAACACGUUACCUCAAGUCUACACCGUCCCCAGGAGAAUGGAGCAGCAGAGGCCCAUCCAAGCUGCCCAAACCAGGGCUAUGAUUGCUCUUAGCCAGAAGGUCUGGCUGACCUCGGGGCAGGGGGAGCCACAUCAGCAGGGGAAUUUAUGAGUAAAUGAGUUUUCCUUCAGCUCGGCAUUCCGGCUGCUGGAGGAAGACACUGGCCCCAGGCCCAGACUGAAGGUGUCCGGAGGGAAUGGCUCUGGGUGCACCAUGCGAUGGGACAGGUAUCAGAGAAGAACUGGCCUGAACCUGGAACACCGCUAGGAGUGGAGAACAUCAGUGCCAGGGGCUGGCUAACCCAUCAGGAAAGAUUUAAUAAGACAGAAAAUAUAUCCCAAGAAAAAGUGACCUGAAAGCUGAAUCAAAGUGCUCAGACACUAGGGUGACGAGCUUAGAGUAAGAGCCUAGAGAGAGAACCCCAACGUCCCCUUGCACCCUACUCAAGUCAGGGAGCGAAGAUCCCUGAACAUUGAUUUCCUUCACCCAAAGAGAGUGAUCCCUGAGCAGUAACCUUGUCAUUCGAGGAGGCAGCUUGUUCCCAGGCAAUCACUGGUAAAAGAGAAGGGACAGCUGGAAAACAUCAAACAGGAAAGGCUCUUGUUGCCAGGAAUGUAUUUGCCGGCUGAUCUGAUAUCAGAAGGUUUCCAAACCAUCAGCUGUUUAGAGCCACCAUCCCACAGGUCAGAAUUAUCACCUCACUUGUCACAGUCUUCAGCCCCAUCAGAGCCCCCAUCCCUCAGAGAAGAAUCCUCGCUCAGGUCAGGGUCGCCAACUCCCCCGUCCGAGUCAUCCUCGCUCAGGUCAGGGUCGCCAUCUCCCCCGUCCGAGUCAUCCUCGCUCAGGUCAGGGUCGCCAUCUCCCCCGUCCAAGUCAUCCUCGCUCAGGUCAGGGUCGCCAUCUCCCCCGUCCGAGUCAUCCUCGCUCAGGUCAGCGUCGCCAACUUCCCCGUCCAAGUCAUCCUCGCUCAGGUCAGGGUCGCCAUCUCCCCCGUCCGAGUCAUC